rnacentral:rRNA from 1 species
AUGGAAGGCCUCUUGAAAGGGAGAUUUUUGCCCGCUGAUUAUGACCAAAUCCUAUUUAUCCAAUUUCAAAAUUUUGCUCAAGGAAAUAGGACUGUUUCAGAUUACACGGAGGAGCUUCUAAGGCUACAAGUGAGGUGCAACCUUGCUGAAACUGAAGAGCAACAGGUUGCAAGGUACAUCAAUGGUCUCAAUGAUGCUAUUCAAGAUCAAUUGAUGAUGCAACAAAUUUGGUCCGUUGAUCAAGCACAAGCUCUAGCCUUAAAGGCCGAGAUGUUUGUGAGGAUGAGAAAGACAAUUAAGGCUCCAUAUCCUCCAUAUCCUCAUACCGAAGGCUCAUCUAGGAGCCAACCUAAUAGAGUGGAAGAAAGGACAACUCCACCAAAGACAAAACAACCCAUCCCGAAGCAAACUAGAGGCAAUGGUAAGGCAAAUGAAGGCCCAAAGUGCUAUAAAUGUAGUAAAGAGGGACACAUAUCCAGCGGUUGCCCACUAAGGAAAUUUGUUAACACAACUAUCCUUGAUGCUGAAGGCGAUGAGGAAGAAUACAAAUCUGAAGAUGUAGAGGGGCAAGAGGUUUGUCAAGAAGAAGAUGAAGAGGUGGUAUGUGUGAUGCAGCGUCUCCUAUGUUCCACACCACAACCUGAGAACACACAAUGGAAGAAAAUAUUUGAGAGCAAAUGCAUGGUGAAUGGCAAGGUAUGCAAAUUAGUGAUUGAUAGUUGCAGUUGCGAGAAUCUUAUCUCCCAGAAGUUGGUGAACCAUUUAAAGCUUGAUAUUCAUGAUCGUCCAGACCCUACACUAUUGGGUGGAUCAAGAAAGGAGUGA